AAAACAACAACAAAAAACCCUCUCAAACUCUCACUUGGAGAACAGAAAAUUGUAAAUAAGCCAUGUAAAAAAAAACAGAAACAAACAUGCUCAUGCAUCAAUCAUCUCUAUUUCAGAUGCAAUGCCAAACAGAAAGGAUGAAUGAGGGCUCAGCUCAGUUAGGAUGAGUGCAAAAAUCAACAGCACUAAAGCUACUUUUCAGAUAUGGAUUAUCUUCCAACUCUGAACAUGCUGCAGGAACAAAAGAUAUGCACUGGAACUCCAAUACUCACUUUAGGAAGAAUAUAAAUGAUUUGGAUUCAUUUCCCAGUAUGAAGGGCUCUGCAAGAAGCUGAAGAAGCCAGAAAGAAUUAGAAAGCACAACCACAAACAGUAUUAACAGAAAUAUUGUAUAAUAAGCAGGGCAAAUCAUCCCUUCAUUCAGAUGGCAAUUACAUCACUGGUAACGCAACGCUUUCCUGCUUUCAGCAGCGCUACAAAGAUAACCUCCCUGCGAUGAAUAUAUUUUGAGCAAUUUUUCCCGUGUGCUGGCCUGAACCAGUCUUUUCUUUGAUGCUAGACAUAAAUGUCCUACUGUAACUCUUGUCUUGCUCUUGCAUAAAUAAACCAUCUACCGGCACUGGAAAGAGG
ensembl:lncRNA